rnacentral:misc_RNA from 1 species
GAAAUGCGAUAAGUAGUGUGAAUUGCAGAAUUCAGUGAAUCAUCGAAUCUUUGAACGCACAUUGCGCCCUUUGGUAUUCCUUAGGGCAUGCCUGUUCGAGCGUCAUUCAAACCUUCAAGCUCUGCUUGGUGUUGGGUGUCUGUCCCGCCCCCCGGGGCGCGGACUCGCCUCAAAUUCAUUGGCGGCCGGUACGUUGGCUUCGAGCGCAGCAGAAACGCGAUACUCGAGCCCGGCGGGCUGGCUCCCAGAAGCCACAUUCACCAUUUUGACCUCGGAUCAGGUAGGGAUACCCGCUGAACUUAA